rnacentral:rRNA from 1 species
AAGGAAUAUUGGUCAAUGGACGCAAGUCUGAACCAGCCAUGCCGCGUGAAGGAUGAAGGUCCUCUGGAUUGUAAACUUCUUUUAUCUGGGACGAAAACGGGAUUUUUAUCUCAAUUGACGGUACCAGAGGAAUAAGCACCGGCUAACUCCGUGCCAGCAGCCGCGGUAAUACGGAGGGUGCGAGCGUUAUCCGGAUUUACUGGGUUUAAAGGGUGCGUAGGUGGGCAGAUAAGUCAGUGGUGAAAUCUUCCGGCUUAACCGGGAAACUGCCGUUGAUACUAUUUGUCUUGAAUAUUGCGGAGGUAAGCGGAAUAUGUCAUGUAGCGGUGAAAUGCUUAGAUAUGACAUAGAACACCAAUUGCGAAGGCAGCUUACUACACAAUCAUUGACACUGAGGCACGAAAGCGUAGGUAGCGAACA